rnacentral:rRNA from 1 species
GGUUAAGCGACUAAGCGUACACGGUGGAUGCCCUGGCAGUCAGAGGCGAUGAAGGACGUGCUAAUCUGCGAAAAGCGUCGGUAAGGUGAUAUGAACCGUUAUAGCCGGCGAUGUCCGAAUGGGGAAACCCAGUGCAAUUCGUUGCACUAUCGUUAACUGAAUACAUAGGUUAACGAGGCGAACCGGGGGAACUGAAACAUCUAAGUACCCCGAGGAAAAGAAAUCAACCGAGAUUCCCCCAGUAGCGGCGAGCGAACGGGGAGCAGCCCAGAGUCUGAAUCAGCUUGUGUGUUAGUGGAACGGUCUGGAAAGUCCGACGGUACAGGGUGAUAGUCCCGUACACCAAAAUGCACAGGCUGUGAACUCGAAGAGUAGGGCGGGACACGUGGUAUCCUGUCUGAAUAUGGGGGGACCAUCCUCCAAGGCUAAAUACUCCUGACUGACCGAUAGUGAACCAGUACCGUGAGGGAAAGGCGAAAAGAACCCCGGCGAGGGGAGUGAAAAAGAACCUGAAACCGUGUACGUACAAGCAGUGGGAGCACCUUCGGGUGUGACUGCGUACCUUUUGUAUAAUGGGUCAGCGACUUAUAUUCUGUAGCAAGGUUAACCGUAUAGGGGAGCCGCAGGGAAACCGAGUCUUAACUGGGCGUUAAGUUGCAGGGUAUAGACCCGAAACCCGGUGAUCUAGCCAUGGGCAGGUUGAAGGUUGGGUAACACUAACUGGAGGACCGAACCGACUAAUGUUGAAAAAUUAGCGGAUGACUUGUGGCUGGGGGUGAAAGGCCAAUCAAACCGGGAGAUAGCUGGUUCUCCCCGAAAGCUAUUUAGGUAGCGCCUCGUGAACUCAUCUUCGGGGGUAGAGCACUGUUUCGGCUAGGGGGUCAUCCCGACUUACCAACCCGAUGCAAACUACGAAUACCGAAGAAUGUUAUCACGGGAGACACACGGCGGGUGCUAACGUCCGUCGUGAAGAGGGAAACAACCCAGACCGCCAGCUAAGGUCCCAAAGUCAUGGUUAAGUGGGAAACGAUGUGGGAAGGCACAGACAGCCAGGAUGUUGGCUUAGAAGCAGCCAUCAUUUAAAGAAAGCGUAAUAGCUCACUGGUCGAGUCGGCCUGCGCGGAAGAUGUAACGGGGCUAAACCAUGCACCGAAGCUGCGGCAGCGACACUAUGUGUUGUUGGGUAGGGGAGCGUUCUGUAAGCCUGCGAAGGUGACCUGUGAGGGUUGCUGGAGGUAUCAGAAGUGCGAAUGCUGACAUAAGUAACGAUAAAGCGGGUGAAAAGCCCGCUCGCCGGAAGACCAAGGGUUCCUGUCCAACGUUAAUCGGGGCAGGGUGAGUCGACCCCUAAGGCGAGGCCGAAAGGCGUAGUCGAUGGGAAACAGGUUAAUAUUCCUGUACUUGGUGUUACUGCGAAGGGGGGACGGAGAAGGCUAUGUUAGCCGGGCGACGGUUGUCCCGGUUUAAGCAUGUAGGCUG